rnacentral:rRNA from 1 species
AUACGGAGGAUCCAAGCGUUAUCCGGAUUUAUUGGGUUUAAAGGGUACGUAGGCGGACUCAUAAGUCAGUGGUGAAAUUCUGCAGCUUAACUGUAGCAUUGCCAUUGAUACUGUUUGUCUUGAGUAUAGAUGAGGUAGGCGGAAUGUAGUGUGUAGCGGUGAAAUGCAUAGAUAUACUACGGAACACCGAUUGCGAAGGCAGCUUACUAAACUAUUACUGACGCUGAGGUACGAAAGCGUGGGGAGCAAACAGGAUUAGAUACCCUGGUAGUCCACGCCGUAAACUAUGAUUACUAGUUGUUUGCGAUAUAUUGUAAGCGACUGCGCGAAAGCAUUAAGUAAUCCACCUGGGGAGUACGUUGGCAACAAUGAA